rnacentral:rRNA from 1 species
CGGAGGAAAAGAAACCAACAGGGAUUGCCUCAGUAACGGCGAGUGAAGCGGCAAGAGCUCAAAUUUGAAAGCUGGCCCCUUCGGGGUCCGCGUUGUAAUUUGCAGAGGAUGCUUCGGGUGCAGCCCCCGUCUAAGUGCCCUGGAACGGGCCGUCAUAGAGGGUGAGAAUCCCGUCUGGGACGGGGUGUCUGCGUCCGUGUGAAGCUCCUUCGACGAGUCGAGUUGUUUGGGAAUGCAGCUCUAAAUGGGUGGUAAAUUUCAUCUAAAGCUAAAUACUGGCCGGAGACCGAUAGCGCACAAGUAGAGUGAUCGAAAGAUGAAAAGCACUUUGAAAAGAGAGUUAAACAGCACGUGAAAUUGUUGAAAGGGAAGCGUUUGCGACCAGACUCGCCCGCGGGGUUCAGCCGGCAUUCGUGCCGGUGUACUUCCCCGUGGGCGGGCCAGCGUCGGUUUGGGCGGCCGGUCAAAGGCCCUCGGAAUGUAUCACCUCUCGGGGUGUCUUAUAGCCGAGGGUGCAAUGCGGCCUGCCUGGACCGAGGAACGCGCUUCGGCUCGGACGCUGGCGUAAUGGUCGUAAAUGACCCGUCUUGAACCACGGACCA